rnacentral:rRNA from 1 species
AGAGUUUGAUCCUGGCUCAGGACGAACGCUGGCGGCGUGCCUAAUACAUGCAAGUAGAACGCUGAAGAGAGGAGCUUGCUCUUCUUGGAUGAGUUGCGAACGGGUGAGUAACGCGUAGGUAACCUGCCUUGUAGCGGGGGAUAACUAUUGGAAACGAUAGCUAAUACCGCAUAACAGUCGAUAUCGCAUGAUAUUGAUUUGAAAGGUGCAAAUGCAUCACUAAGAGAUGGACCUGCGUUGUAUUAGCUAGUUGGUGAGGUAACGGCUCACCAAGGCGACGAUACAUAGCCGACCUGAGAGGGUGAUCGGCCACACUGGGACUGAGACACGGCCCAGACUCCUACGGGAGGCAGCAGUAGGGAAUUUUCGGCAAUGGGGGAAACCCUGACCGAGCAACGCCGCGUGAAGGAAGAAGUAAUUCGUUAUGUAAACUUCUGUCAUAGAGGAAGAACGGUGGAUAUAGGGAAUGAUAUCCAAGUGACGGUACUCUAUAAGAAAGCCACGGCUAACUACGUGCCAGCAGCCGCGGUAAUACGUAGGUGGCGAGCGUUAUCCGGAAUUAUUGGGCGUAAAGAGGGAGCAGGCGGCACUAAGGGUCUGUGGUGAAAGAUCGAAGCUUAACUUCGGUAAGCCAUGGAAACCGUAGAGCUAGAGUGUGUGAGAGGAUCGUGGAAUUCCAUGUGUAGCGGUGAAAUGCGUAGAUAUAUGGAGGAACACCAGUGGCGAAGGCGACGAUCUGGCGCAUAACUGACGCUCAGUCCCGAAAGCGUGGGGAGCAAAUAGGAUUAGAUACCCUAGUAGUCCACGCCGUAAACGAUGAGUACUAAGUGUUGGGAGUCAAAUCUCAGUGCUGCAGUUAACGCAAUAAGUACUCCGCCUGAGUAGUACGUUCGCAAGAAUGAAACUCAAAGGAAUUGACGGGGGCCCGCACAAGCGGUGGAGCAUGUGGUUUAAUUCGAAGCAACGCGAAGAACCUUACCAAGUCUUGACAUCCUUCUGACCGGUACUUAAUCGUACCUUCUCUUCGGAGCAGGAGUGACAGGUGGUGCAUGGUUGUCGUCAGCUCGUGUCGUGAGAUGUUGGGUUAAGUCC